GGUUUUGUGGCUCAGCUGGUGAAGCGCUUGCCACAUGUAGGCAUGCUGUUUCAGUAGCUGGCUCGAAUCCAGCCAAAUCCG